GGCGGAGUGGUGGAAUGGCAGACACGCUUGACUCAAAAUCAAGUAUCCGCAAGGGUGUGAGGGUUCAAGUCCCUCCUCCGCUACCA
rnacentral:tRNA from 3 species